rnacentral:rRNA from 1 species
UCAUGCUCAGGACGAACGCUGGCGGCGUGCCUAACACAUGCAAGUCGAACGGAGAUAAAGAUUUCGGUUUUUAUCUUAGUGGCGCACGGGUGAGUAACACGUGAAUAACCUGACCCAAAGAGGGGGGAUAACACCUGGAAACAGGUGCUAAUACUGCAUAAGACCACAAUGUCGCAUGACGAAGGGGUCAAAGAAAAUCGCUUUGGGAGGGGUUCGCGUCCCAUUAGGUAGUAGGCGGGGUAACAGCCCACCUAGCCGACGAUGGG